rnacentral:rRNA from 1 species
CUACGGGACGCAGCAGUAGGGAAUCUUCCACAAUGGGCGAAAGCCUGAUGGAGCAACGCCGCGUGGGUGAAGAAGGUCUUCGGAUCGUAAAACCCUGUUGUUAGAGAAGAAAGUGCGUGAGAGUAACUGUUCACGUUUCGACGGUAUCUAACCAGAAAGCCACGGCUAACUACGUGCCAGCAGCCGCGGUAAUACGUAGGUGGCAAGCGUUAUCCGGAUUUAUUGGGCGUAAAGGGAACGCAGGCGGUCUUUUAAGGCUGAUGUGAAAGCCUUCGGCUUAACCGGAGUAGUGCAUUGGAAACUGG